rnacentral:rRNA from 1 species
GACGAAGGAUGCAAGCGUUAUCCGGAUUCAUUGGGUUUAAAGGGUGCGUAGGCGGCCCUGUAAGUCAGUGGUGAAAUCUCUCAGCUUAACUGAGAAACUGCCAUUGAUACUGCAGGGCUUGAGUACAGAUGAUGUUGGCGGAAUAUGACAUGUAGCGGUGAAAUGCGUAGAUAUCGAGAGGAACACCUGCGGCGAAGGCGGGUUGCUGGGCUGACACUGACGCUGACAGCGCGAAAGCUAGGGGAGCGAACGGG